AUUUAUUUCCGUAAUGAAAGGUACAUUUAUAGCGAUCUCCUACCAUGGACGACAUCGCCUCUCUCUCUUACAUAAUCUGCUUUCAUUUCAGUCUCCGAUUUUUCAUUUCACUUUUAAGAUCAUGAAAGCUAAAGAGAUGAAGAAAGAGAGAACCAUAUCAAGACUGGUGAAAUCUCCGGUUCGGUUCUUGAUCAUGGCACGUGACGCCUACAUACGUAGCAUGACAUCAUGCUCCGUCGGUUUCAUCACCGGUGGUGGUGGUGGCUCCGGCGGAUUCGGUUUGCCGGCGGGUAACUUUCGAAUCUGCGAAGCACCGAGCACCACUCUCCCUCGUAGCUUCACACUUGAUACGUCAACGACGACGGGGACACGUGAGCGCUGCCGGUUUGUCUCGGACUACUCACGCGGCGGUGGAGUCGGAGAAAACAGGGCUGGGACGAGACGAUCGUUGGAUCUACGGAGAAACUAUAGCUGUAUGGUGAUGGGAAAGAUCGAUGAAGAGAAGGCUUGUGAUGAGUUUGAAGAAGAGGGUUUGCUGUCUGUGUCUGAUCGAUUCAAAAAACGAAAACUGUGUGGUGUUUUUACUAUUUGUCAACGAUAAAAGGAAAAAAUGAUAAAUCACUGGUUUCGUAUUUCUUGUUGGGAUUUGAUAUUGCGUGCAUAUAGAUUUCUUUAUUGUAUAGAAAUUUCAAUUUGUAGAAUCGAUAAAACCUCUUCAACUUUUAUGUUUAAUUUCAUAUUCUUCGGCUAAAAUUUAGUUACAUUUACGAUAUUUUAAGUUAGGUUUCAACUAACAGUAUAGGUAAAGUAUUAUCUGGGAGACAGAUGAGAAUCAUGAAACGAAGGUCAAACAAAAAAUGUUGUUUCUUUUUCCCUAGUUGUUAGGAAGUCUUUCACUCUUACCAUUUUCUCUCCUCCUUCACACGACACCAACGUCAACGUACCAAAUAAAAUAAGCAAACUCUAUCUCGGGGUGUGUUUACUCUAAAAUACUAACUCUCGGUGGGGAAAACAAAUAAUACAAAAGUAUAGGGGUGAAAAAUAAAAUUUUUGAAAAGUUGCACAUUAGGGGGAUCGGGGGACGGAGAUUUCGCCGCCGAGUGAGUGAAAGCAAUAUUGGAAGAUGCGACGGCGAGAAGAAAAGCGACGGAAGUUACACGAAGCUAUUAUUCAAACACUGUAUCCUCCUUCAUCUCCCCCGUCUCCUUCCUCUUCUCCGUCUCCGGUUGCGUUUGAUGACGAACCGUUCGAUGUAACACUCAUAAACCCAGAGGAUUACGUGAACAUUAAUUCAUCAAACCACAACGACAACGACGUUAAUAAAAACGGAGACGAUUCAGAAACAAAACCUAGUCGAGCGCAGAGGAAAAGGAUACGAAAGAAGAUGCUCAAAGAGGAAGCAGCUCGACGGAGGAAAGUGAUCGGACCUCUGCUUCCGACAGAAAUGAUUGAUAGGCGUGAAGACAAAGAAGAGGCAAGUUGCGUACAACCUGCUCGACUAAAUGCCCAAGAGGAAAAAG